rnacentral:rRNA from 1 species
UACGGAGGGUGCAAGCGUUAUCCGGAUUCACUGGGUUUAAAGGGUGCGUAGGCGGGCAGGUAAGUCAGUGGUGAAAUCUCCGAGCUUAACUCGGAAACUGCCUUUGAUACUAUCUGUCUUGAAUAUGGUGGAGGUAAGCGGAAUAUGUCAUGUAGCGGUGAAAUGCUUAGAUAUGACAUAGAACACCUAUUGCGAAGGCAGCUUACUACGCCUAUAUUGACGCUGAGGCACGAAAAGCGUGGGGGAUCAAACAGG